rnacentral:rRNA from 1 species
AGAGUUUGAUCCUGGCUCAGGACGAACGCUGGCGGCGUGCCUAAUACAUGCAAGUCGAGCGCACACCUUCGGGUGUGAGCGGCGGACGGGUGAGUAACACGUGGGCAAUCUGCCUUUCAGACUGGAAUAACUUCCGGAAACGGGAGCUAAUGCCGGAUAGUCAACGAGCAUGCAUGUGCUUGUUGGGAAAGGGUGCUACG